GCCGUGUUGUUUGACUCCUUCAAUGGAGAUGGAGGCAACACGGAAGCAGGUUUUGAGGACGAGGAAGAUCAUGAUGAUGAAGUUGUAGAUAGCUCACAGCAAGCAAGCAGAGAAACCAGUUUUCCCAACAGCCAGGAAUUCUUUUUCACCCUGGACCUAGAGCUAAUACCCCCCGAAAACACCCACGGCUGCCUCCCGGACCCGCCAGACAGAGAAGGGACCUCUGGAUCACAGGAUCUGCUCCUUCCCAGAGGCUAGUGAAGAUUAGAAGGC